AAAAUUUGCAUAAACAUUUGCUCCUUCAUCUUCCAAUUUUCUUCCUUUUGUUCUUCACUUUUGGAUUUCUCGUGGAGUUUCUCAAUUUUCUGUUAAAUAACUUUCUGGCGGACGCGGGUCCUCUUUCAGUUAUUUUUUCUAUUGACCCCUAAUUUUUGGUGUGAUCUGGUUGGUGUAUGUUUAUGUUUCCCUCUAUUUUUCAUGAAUGAUUUCCGUAGCUUAGGUAAAAAUAAAUUGCAAAAGUAUAUUGGACUUUCGUACUUCAAUACACACUGACUAGCUUGACAAUAUUGGCUUAUGACACUUUAGAUAUGCUGCAAUUAGAUACUAAGCUUUAAGAAUUUAUCAAAUGAGUAGUUUUUAUCAUACAUAAUUGGCAGGUGAUACUUUCUGUAGCAAUCAAUAUGAAGAAAUUUUGAGUAUUUAAACUUGAAUGUAUAGAUUACCAUUAGUAAGAGCUUACACCUUAACAAUUUUUUAAUCAAUAAUUGUGAGAUAACCUCUAUUUUGCAAAUUGUUAUAAGUUCUGAAAAUAAAAAAGAAAAUCUUGCAGUACAAAGUCUUAUUCUUGCACUCUUUUUCUCUAAUUUCAGUUACUUCAUCGUUAUUGAGCUUACCAACUAUUAUUCUUGAACCAAUGUUGUUUGAGAGGUGAUAUAAAAAAAAUUCAGCAGCAAGUUCCAAAAGCUUUAUAUAUUGUUGCAGCCGUACUUAGAAUGCAUUUCCAUGAUUGCCCUGUUAGGAUAAGACUUCUAUACCUUGCAUAGCAUUCACCAAUUCAAGAGCUAUAUUAUUUAGCACUACUAGACAAUAUUAGUAAGUAAUAUGUCGUUUAAUUGAACCUAGAAUUUCGAUUGGAUUGGUACUAAUCUAUAUAAGAGUCGUCAUCUAUUUGGUUUCUGCAUGAUUUUCGUCUUGUGUACCUUUUCGGCUCAUAUUUGGGGUUUGAGUAUAUUUAUUCGCCCAACUCUAUUAGAUCUUUCUAUAAAUUUCUUACAAGUCCAAUAUAGAUGUAAUGUGCAAUUCGUCUUUCAUUUAGCACUUUUUUCUAUUGAGUUUUGAAAACUGAUGAUUGCCUUUACUAUGCUAUCUUGGGAUUUGUUGGGAAGUAAAUUUUAAAAACUUCAAUUGUUAGUUGUAGCGUGUUUAUACUUUGAUGUCAAGACAGAAAAGAAUAUAUUCUUUUGAAUAUUGAUUUGCAGGUUACUAAAUACUACGAUAUUUGUGUUCUUUAUCACUUCAAAUAAGCGUAUAUUUUGGUUAUAAUGACAUAACAUCUUGCUCUUCUGUUAAUUUCUUUCACAUACUUAAUCUACCUAAAACAAACAGUAAAUAUAUGUCUAUGUCAAACAACAAUGUGCAAAGAUAGAGGCAUUUUUGAGAUACUCUAUAUGAUCUUUAUGUUUUGUUGACAGUGAAUUGACAGGGUUCCCUAGCAAUAGGUUAAUAAGACUUUUCUUAUUUGACUAUCAACAACUUUGGACGAAAAAGAAAAUGCCAAUUACCUUGGAAACUCUGUGCAAGUAAAAUAACCUCUUGACCAAACACAUGUAAAACUAUGAAAGUCAAAUUAAGAAAUCACGAAAAUUGAGGUGUGAAAAAAGAAAUAAAUGUGAAGUUGAAGAUUUAAACGGCAAAAAAUAAUCUUCUUUAAGUGGUAAAAGCUAAGCAUAAGUGAAAGUGGACGUUUUUGUUACUGUAUACUAUUCUUUAUGAGAUUCUGGAAUGAAUGGUGCCAAUACAUUAUUUAAUUGUGCUAAUAGAUGAUGUUGAUAAGACGGUAAAAUUAAUUUUGUUUUCUAUCUUUACAAUAUAGUAUAGGAUCCCUGCCUUUCCGACUAGCAGUUAUGCAUUUUCCUAGAUUUUUUGUUGUUGUAUAAUUAGAGUUUGGACUCCUCCAGAAUCAGAUGGAAAGAACAUAUUUGGAAGGCGCCAGACGCAAGAAAGAGACUUGCCUUAUGUUUCUGAUGAUUGUGAAACCAAAAAUAGUCAGGUCCAACCCCCCACCCCCCAACAAACAAAGAAUAUAACUUUUUUUUUGUCAUUGUUAUAGUUAUUAUUGCAGUUUUCUAAAUAUGGAUGAUGUUUUAUGAGCAGAAGGAGGAGAUGAUGGGAGAGUUUAACAAAGCCUAAGUAGCUAUCCAAUGAGUUUCAUAGUUUUAAUGUGAUUACCUUAGACUUUAUUUUUUGUACUUAACAUGACAACAUAUGUUACACCACAUAAGAAAUAUGUUUAUAAUUUGUUUGUGAGCUUCACCUUGUUUUUGCAAACUUAUGCUAAAAAGAGAAGUAGAGAGGAAGUGUUGUUCAAAACUUAUCAUGAUGUUUUACUUAGUUCUGUUCUUGAUGGUCCUUCUCUUUAUCAGAGCAUUGAACAGAUCAUUGGAUGAUUUAGUUUCUAAGAUUCAAAGUGAGCUGCCUUCAACUAAGGAUCCUCUAAUUCCACGGAUAACUAAAGAGGUUCCUUCCUUGAGCACAUAUUCUGGAGGACGUAGGCCAAGAAUGAAAACAUUUAUGGUUAUUGGGAUAAACACCACCUUCAGUAGUAGAAAAAGGCGCGAUUCUAUUAGACAGACUUGGAUGCCUCAAGGUGCAAAGCUACAUAAAUUAGAGUAAGAAAAGGGGAUCGUUGCGCGUUUCAUGAUAGGCUACAUAGCAAGAAGGGCAUAAUCGUUAGACUUGUUUGAGAGCUUAUUACAAGACCAGCUGAAGGAUAAGUUGAAAUAUUAUGUAUUAGUAGAUUUUAAGUUGCUCACCCUCCUCUCAAUGAAAAAGAGAAAGUGAGACUUGAGAAGGACAUAUUGAUUUUAGAAUCAUACAUCUAUUUGAAUAAUAGAAGCAAUUACAGUUCUCAAGGGAAUGGUGAAAAGAUGUGCACGGAAGAACUCAUGUUUGUCCAUUAUGAUUCAUUGAGCUUGCACAUAACCGAACAGGGAUAGAAAGACGAACUUUAAAGUUUAAUUACAGAAUUCUACGAAAGAUGAACCCGAAGCAAAAGCUUUUGUGGAUAAUACUGUUCAUAAAGAGGAUGCCAAAAUGAACAAAUUAUUUGAAAAGGCGUCAACGUUUGUCUAUGUAGUGGAGUUGAUUUCUUUGUAUUACUCACAUUAACAAAUUUUAUGUGAAAGCUUUUCUUUAGUCCAAAUUUUCAUUAUUCCCAAUGAAACCAACUAUUGGAUUUCAUAUUGUUGAAGCUUU